GACGAACGCUGGCGGCGUGCUUAACACAUGCAAGUCGAGCGGAAAGGCCUCUUCCGGGGUACUCGAGCGGCGAACGGGUGAGUAACACGUGAGUAAUCUGCCUCUGGCUUCGGGAUAGCCACCGGAAACGGUGAUUAAUACCGGAUACGACACAUCACUGCAUGGUGCGUGUGUGGAAAGUUUUUUCGGCCAGGGAUGUGCUCGCGGCCUAUCAGCUUGUUGGUGGGGUAAUGGCCUACCAAGGCUUCGACGGGUAGCCGGCCUGAGAGGGUGACCGGCCACACUGGGACUGAGGCACGGCCCAGACUCCUACGGGAGGCAGCAGUGGGGAAUAUUGGACAAUGGGCGGAAGCCUGAUCCAGCAACGCCGCGUGAGGGAUGACGGCCUUCGGGUUGUAAACCUCUUUCAGCACAGACGAAGCGCAAGUGACGGUAUGUGCAGAAGAAGGACCGGCCAACUACGUGCCAGCAGCCGCCGUAAAAC
rnacentral:rRNA from 1 species